rnacentral:rRNA from 1 species
UGGGGAAUAUUGCGCAAUGGGCGAAAGCCUGACGCAGCAACGCCGCGUGAGUGAUGAAGGUCUUCGGAUCGUAAAGCUCUGUCAGCAGGGAAGAAACCUAGGUGAUCUAAUAAAUCAUUUAAUUGACGGUACCUGCGAAGGAAGCACCGGCUAACUCUGUGCCAGCAGCCGCGGUAAUACAGAGGGUGCGAGCGUUGUUCGGAAUUAUUGGGCGUAAAGAGCGCGUAGGUGGUUCGCUAAGUCUGGUGUGAAAGCCCUCGGCUUAACCGAGGAAGUGCAUUGGAUACUGGCGAGCUUGAGUGUGAGAGAGGAUUGUGGAAUUCCUGGUGUAGCGGUGAAAUGCGUAGAUAUCAGGAGGAACACCGGUGGCGAAGGCGGCAAUCUGGAUCAUAACUGACACUGAGGCGCGAAAGCGUGGGUAGCAAACA